UGCCAGCAGCCGCGGUAAUACGGAGGGUGCAAGCGUUAAUCGGAAUUACUGGGCGUAAAGCGCGCGUAGGUGGUUAUUUAAGUUGGCUGUGAAAGCCCCGGGCUCAACCUGGGAAUUGCAGUUGAUACUGGCAAGCUAGAGUACGAGAGAGGGAGGUAGAAUUCCAUGUGUAGCGGUGAAAUGCGUAGUUAUAUGGAGGAAUACCAGUGGCGAAGGCGGCCUCCUGGCUCGAUACUGACACUGAGGUGCGAAAGCGUGGGUAGCAAACAGGAUUAGAUA
rnacentral:rRNA from 1 species